rnacentral:rRNA from 1 species
AUUGAACGCUGGCGGCAUGCCUUACACAUGCAAGUCGAACGGUAAUGGGCCUUCGGGUGCCGACGAGUGGCGAACGGGUGAGUAAUGUAUCGGAACGUACCUUUCAGUGGGGGAUAACGUAGCGAAAGUUACGCUAAUACCGCAUAUUCUGUGAGCAGGAAAGCAGGGGAUCGCAAGACCUUGCGCUGAUUGAGCGGCCGAUAUCAGAUUAGCUAGUUGGUGAGGUAAAGGCUCACCAAGGCGACGAUCUGUAGCGGGUCUGAGAGGAUGAUCCGCCACACUGGAACUGAGACACGGUCCAGACUCCUACGGGAGGCAGCAGUGGGGAAUUUUGGACAAUGGGGGCAACCCUGAUCCAGCCAUGCCGCGUGAGUGAAGAAGGCCUCCGGGUUGUAAAGCUCUUUCGGCCGGGAAGAAAUCGUAUCAGCUAAUACCUGGUGCGGAUGACGGUACCGGCAUAAGAAGCACCGGCUAACUACGUGCCAGCAGCCGCCGUAAUAC